GACAGAGGGUGCAAACGUUGUUCGGAUUUACUGGGCGUAAAGCGUGUGUAGGCGGCUUGGCAAGUUGGAUGUGAAAGCCCACGGCUCAACCGUGGAAGCGCACCCAAAACUGCUUCGCUCGAGUCUCGGAGAGGAAGGUGGAAUGCUUGGUGUAGAGGUGAAAUUCGUAGAUAUCAAGCGGAACACCAGUGGCGAAGGCGACCUUCUGGACAGUGACUGACGCUGAGACGCGAAAGCGUGGGGAGCAAACAGG
rnacentral:rRNA from 1 species